GCGACACCUGGAGGGGGUGCAGACAAGCACAAAGACAGGAGGACCAAAACGCAGCAGUUCUUGCUAUGGAGCUGCCUGCCAGGGCAUCGAGUUCUUCCACCCCCUGCUUACCACAACACCAUUGGAGAAGGUCUAUGACCUUGUACGUAGUGUAACCAAAGUAAGUCAAACAGAUCGGGCCAGAGUGUACACACUGUAACGCACAUCUCAGUCCCCUGAAUUUAUUGAGCACAUUGGUUAAUAUUUAUCCAAUGUUCCUCUUCUUCCUGUGACCCCUCUUCUCAUCGUUCUCUGGCUCCUGCUCCCCUGACUCGCUCCCCCUUUCUGCGUCCACCUCUUCUCCUACACCAUCUGCCUUCCGUCUCUUCUCCUCCCAUCAAUUCUCCUCCCUCUUCUCCCCCACCCUCUGCCUCCAUGUCUUCUACUCCACCCUCUGACUCCCUUGUUCUCUCCUCACCCUCUGUCUCCCACAUCGUCUCCUCACCCUCGGGCCUUAUUGCUUAAGUAUAGGAUGGAGUUCCUUCCUGAGUCCCGCCCCAUCUCUCCUACUGCCUUCUCAUCACCAUGGAAACGAGUCCGACUCGAGUGAAAUCAUCGUUAAUAUCAUCUUUGACUAAAUGUAUUGUCUCUCUGUAUUUCAGAUAAAUGUUUUCUUCCUUCCGCAACCCCAGCCACUGCAAUAAUAAUUAUUUAUUCUAUAUUAGUUUUGAAUAAGGAGUUGUCGGAUAACUCCUGCAUUGAUUUUUGGCUAGACAGUAGAUUUGUAAUCUUAUUCGUCACCGAAACUAUACUGAACAAAAAUCAGUAUCUGGUGUGACCACCAUUUGUCUUAUGUAGCGCGACACAUCUCCUUUGCAUAGAGUUAAUCAGGCUGUUAUUUGUGGCCUGUGGAAUGUCGUCCCUCUCCUCUUCAAUGGCUGUGUGAAGUUGCUGGAUAUUGGGAACUGGAACACGCUGUCGUACACGUCGUUCCAGAGCACCCCAAACGUGAUCAAUGGGUGACAUGUCUGGUGAGGCCAUGGAAGAACUGGGACAUUUUCAGCUUCCAGGAAUUGAGUUCAGAUCCUUGCGACACGGGGCUGUGCAUUAUCAUGCUGAAACAUGAGGUGGCGGCGGAUGAAUGGCACGACAAUGAGCCUCAGGAUCUUCUCACACCAGAUACUGAUACUUUGUGCAUUCACCUUGCCAUUGGUAAAAUGCUAUUGUGUUUCUUUGUCUGUAGGUUAUGCCUGCCCAUACCAUAACCCUACCUCUACCAUGGGGCACUCUGUUCAUAACGUUGACAUCAGCAAACCGCUCGCCCACACGAUACCAUACAUGCUUUCUGCUAUCUGCCCGGUACAGUUGAAACCGGGAUUCAUUUGUGAAGAGCACACUUCUCCAACGUGCCAGUGGCCAUCGAAGGUGAGCAUUUGUCCACUGAAGUCGGUUACGACGCCGAACUGCAGUCAGGUCAAGACUCUGGUGAGGACGACGAGCACGCAGUUUGUGCAGAGAUUCUUCAGUUUUGCAACCCACAGUUUCAUCAGCUGUCCGGGUGGCUGGUCUCAGACGAUCCCGCAGGUGAAGAAGCUGGAUGUGAAGGUCCUGGGCUGGCGUGGUUACACGUGGUCUGCAGUUGUGAGGCCAGUUGGAAGUACUACCAAAAUUCUCUAAAACAAUGUUGUUGGCUGCUUAUGGUAGAGAAAU